UGAUGUAAACUGCUUCUGUUGGACUUCAUCUUGCAGCUCCUCGUCCCAUAUACUGAGCUCUUUCAGGGGGCCCGCGUGUCCCAGUGAGAGAGCAGCACAGGACCAAGACAGUCUGCAGUGGACAUGAAUAAUGCAUGGCGCUAAUGCAGCUAGCACGGCCGCCGACCGCUUUCUUCUACUCGAGACCAUCGCCAAAGCAGGCAACAAGCGCAGAAAACUAGAGGGGACACUGGAAAAGACAGAUGGGGGUUGCAGAGAGUUGGCCUACAUUGUGGCACUGCUGCCAGUCAACUGUGCCAUCACCAUGGAGCUGUCACAUCAAUGAGGUCAUGCCUCCCUUUCCUCUGCAACAUAGUGUACGGUGUUGCUUUGUGUCAUGCUGGAAAAAGAAGAGCCUUCCCAAGGAGAGAAAACAAAGAAAAUAUUGUG